rnacentral:rRNA from 1 species
UACGUAGGGGGCAAGCGUUGUCCGGAGUUACUGGGCGUAAAGCGCACGCAGGCGGUGCUCUGCGUUCUCACUGACAGUCGUCGGCGCAACUGACGAAGGCGUGGGAAGACGAGAGCACUUGAGGGCUUCAGAGGGACACGGAAUUCCGGGUGGAGUGGUGAAAUGCGUAGAUAUCCGGAGGAACACCAACAGCGAAGGCAGUGUCCUGGGAAGUUCCUGACGCUCAGGUGCGAAAGCCAGGGGAGCGAACGG